rnacentral:tRNA from 1 species
CGGGCAGUAGCUCAGUGGUAGAGCUCCCGCUUCUAAUGCGGGAAGACCUAGGUUCGAUUCCCGGCUGCUUAC